rnacentral:lncRNA from 1 species
UUCCACUUUCCUAAGAAGAAGAAAUGGCCAAAUCCCAGGGAAUGAACAUAUGGAAGAAGAGCAACUAAAAGCUGUGAAUACACAAUUAAGAAUCAAAAGAGGAUAACCAAAAGGCCCGAUGGCAGUCUGAAACCCAGCGGCUGUAAGGUAGAUAUGGCUGACAAUCAAACCCUACUCAACAUAAAGUGUUGCAGAAUUGCCGCACCAAUUAAAUGCAUAUCCUGGUGACAGUGAAGGCUGAAGCUCAAACUUCUAAAGUGGCUUACAAGACCUCUCAUGAUGUGCCCCUUGAGUCUCUCUGUAGCUUUACCUCUAUGAAAUGAAAGCUCCAUUCUUUCCCAAUGCUGUAUUCUAGUAGAUGAACUUAUGUUUCCUGAACUUGCCAUGCCCUCAUCCCUUUAUAGCUUUGUGCCCCUCGUUUUGCCUUUAUCAUCUCUCCUAACAUUUCCACACUUGCCAGACACAAUCUGGUUAAUCUACACUCUUCAUGUUUCAGCUUAGAUAUCGACCUUUGAUGGUAUAUAGUAAAACUCAAAUAUGUGAUGAUUAAUAUUGAGUGCCAACUUGAUUGGAUUGAAGGAUGCAAAGUAUUGUUCCCGAGUGUGACUGUGAGGGUGUUGCCAAAGGAGAUUAACAUUUGAGUCAGUGGACUGGGAAAGGCAGACCGACCCUCAAUCUGGGUGGACACAAUCUAAUCAGCUGCCAGUGUGGCCAAAAUAAAAGGCAGGAGAAAUUGGAACGACUAGACUGGCUUAGUCUUCCAGCCUACUACUUCGUCCAGUUCCGGAUGCUUCCUACCCUUGAACAUCAGACUCCGAGUUCAGCUUUGGGACUCUUGGACCUUCAACCACAGACUGAAGGCUGCGCUGUCAGCUUCCCUACUUUUGAGGUUUUGGGACUUGGACUCUUAUGUAAAAUUGGGACUUGGCUUCCUUGCUCCUCAGCUUGCAGGCAGCCUAUUGUGGGACCUCACUUUGUGACAGUGUAAAUCAAUACUCCUUAAUAAACUCCCCUUUAUAUAUAC